rnacentral:rRNA from 1 species
UGGGGAAUAUUGCACAAUGGGGGAAACCCUGAUGCAGCAACGCCGCGUGAAGGAUGACGGUUUUCGGAUUGUAAACUUCUUUUCUUAGUGACGAAGACAGUGACGGUAGCUAAGGAAUAAGCAUCGGCUAACUACGUGCCAGCAGCCGCGGUAAUACGUAGGAUGCAAGCGUUAUCCGGAUUUACUGGGUGUAAAGGGAGUGUAGGUGGCCAUGCAAGUCAGAAGUGAAAAUCCGGGGCUCAACCCCGGAACUGCUUUUGAAACUGUAAGGCUAGAGUGCAGGAGGGGUGAGUGGAAUUCCUAGUGUAGCGGUGAAAUGCGUAGAUAUUAGGAGGAACACCAGUGGCGAAGGCGGCCUACUGGGCCGUUACUGACGCUGAGGAGCGAAAGCGUGGGGAGCGAACAGGAUUAGAUACCCUGGUAGUCCACGCCGUAAACGGUGGAUGCUGGAUGUGGGGCCCGUUCCACGGGUUCCGUGUCGGAGCUAACGCGUUAAGCAUCCCGCCUGGGGAGUACGGCCGCAAGGCUAAAACUCAAAGAAAUUGACGGGGGCCCGCACAAGCGGCGGAGCAUGCGGAUUAAUUCGAUGCAACGCGAAGAACCUUACCAGGUCUUGACAUCCCGAUGAAAAACCCGUAACGGGGUUCCCUCUUCGGAGCAUCGGAGACAGGUGGUGCAUGGUUGUCGUCAGCUCGUGUCGUGAGAUGUUGGGUUAAGUCCCGCAACGAGCGCAACCCUUAUUCUUAGUAGCCAGCAGGGAAAGCUGGGCACUCUAAGGAGACUGCCGGGGAUAACCCGGAGGAAGGUGGGGAUGACGUCAAAUCAUCAUGCCCCUUAUGAUCUGGGCUACACACGUGCUACAAUGGCGUAACAAAGGGAAGCGAGCCUGCGAGGGUGAGCAAAUCCCAAAAAUAACGUCCCAGUUCGGACUGUAGUCUGCAACCCGACUACACGAAGCUGGAAUCGCUAGUAAUCGCGAAUCAGAAUGUCGCGGUGAAUACGUUCCC